AGUGAACGCUGGCGGUAGGCCUAACACAUGCAAGUCGAACGGCAGCACAGUAAGAGCUUGCUCUUACGGGUGGCGAGUGGCGGACGGGUGAGGAAUACAUCGGCAUCUACUUUUUCGUGGGGGACAACGUAGGGAAACUUACGCUACUACCGCAUACGACCUACGGGUGAAAGCAGGGGAGAUUCGGACCUUGCGCGAUUCAAUGAGCCGAUGUCGGAUUAGAUAGUUGGCGGGGUAAAGGCCCACCAAGGCGACGAUCCGUAGCUGGUCUGAGAGGAUGAUCAGCCACACUGGAACUGAGACACGGUCCAGACUCCUACGGGAGGCAGCAGUGGGGAAUAUUGGACAAUGGGCGCAAGCCUGAUCCAGCCAUACCGCGUGGGUGAAGAAGGCCUUCGGGUUGUAAAGCCCUUUUGUUGGGAAAGAAAAGCAGCAGGUUAACACCCCGCUGUUCUGACGGUACCCAAAGAAUAAGCACCGGCUAACUUCGUG
rnacentral:rRNA from 1 species